rnacentral:lncRNA from 1 species
GUGAUCCGAACUGCAGCUUAUUUUUGUGCUCGUUCCUCUUUAGUGCUUGCCUUUCUGCCUUUCCUAACUCUUGUGUAAUGUUUUGGCCAAGGUCAGACCGCAACCAUCAUGGGAUCGUACAUGUACAGCAGCAGCGGCAAUAGGCCUCCUCGAUGAGCUGCAUGACCUUCCAAAUUUUGUUUUCUAUGGAUUGGAUAAACAGGCUAAAGCAAUUGAAGAUGCAGUGAAGGUUUUGUUAGAAGCACUUACAGCUCGACGGCUGCGCAUGGGUAGGUCCAUCACCCGUAAACAAAGACACAAUCGCGACAUCCUUUAACAAUGGUAGCAGUUGUU